rnacentral:rRNA from 1 species
UACGUAGGGUGCAAGCGUUGUCCGGAAUUAUUGGGCGUAAAGGGCUCGUAGGCGGUCCAUCGCGUCGGGAGUGAAAAGCUGGGGCUUAACCCCAGUCCUGCUUCCGAUACGGGUGGACUAGAGGUAGGUAGGGGAGAACGGAAUUCCUGGUGUAGCGGUGAAAUGCGUAGAUAUCUGGAGGAACACCGGUGGCGAAGGCGGCAUCCUGGACCGGUAUUGACGCUGAGGCGCGAAAGCCAGGGGAGCAAACGGG